GACCCCUGGUCUAGAGGUAUGAUUCUCGCUUUGAGUACAAAAGAUCCUGGGUUCAAAUCCCGGAUGAGCCC